rnacentral:rRNA from 1 species
GUGCUUGCACCGAGCGGAUGAGUUGCGAACGGGUGAGUAACGCGUAGGUAACCUGCCUCUUAGCGGGGGAUAACUAUUGGAAACGAUAGCUAAUACCGCAUAAAAGUCGACAUCGCAUGAUGUUGAUUUGAAAGGUGCAAUUGCAUCACUAAGAGAUGGACCUGCGUUGUAUUAGCUAGUUGGUGAGGUAACGGCUCACCAAGGCGACGAUACAUAGCCGACCUGAGAGGGUGAUCGGCCACACUGGGACUGAGACACGGCCCAGACUCCUACGGGAGGCAGCAGUAGGGAAUCUUCGGCAAUGGGGGCAACCCUGACCGAGCAACGCCGCGUGAGUGAAGAAGGUUUUCGGAUCGUAAAGCUCUGUUGUAAGAGAAGAACGAGUGUGAGAGUGGAAAGUUCACACUGUGACGGUAACUUACCAGAAAGGGACGGCUAACUACGUGCCAGCAGCCGCGGUAAUACGUAGGUCCCGAGCGUUAUCCGGAUUUAUUGGGCGUAAAGCGAGCGCAGGCGGUUAGAUAAGUCUGAAGUUAAAGGCUGUGGCUUAACCAUAGUACGCUUUGGAAACUGUUUAACUUGAGUGCAGAAGGGGAGAGUGGAAUUCCAUGUGUAGCGGUGAAAUGCGUAGAUAUAUGGAGGAACACCGGUGGCGAAAGCGGCUCUCUGGUCUGUAACUGACGCUGAGGCUCGAAAGCGUGGGGAGCAACAGGAUUAGAUACCCUGGUA